rnacentral:rRNA from 1 species
GAUGAACGCUAGCGGAAGGCAUAAUACAUGCAAGUCGAACGGAUGUAGCAAUACAUUAGUGGCGCACGGGUGCGUAACGCGUAUGCAACCUACCUUCAUCAGGGGGAUAACUACUCGAAAGGGUGGCUAACACCGCAUAAUACUACUGAAUGGCAUCAUUUGGUAUUUAAAUCUGAGGAGGAUGAAGAUGGGCAUGCGUCUGAUUAGCUAGUUGGUGUGGUAACGGCGCACCAAGGCGACGAUCAGUAGGGGAACUGAGAGGUUGGUCCCCCACACUGGCACUGAGAUACGGGCCAGACUCCUACGGGAGGCAGCAGUAGGGAAUAUUGGUCAAUGGUGGGAACACUGAACCAGCCAUUCCGCGUGCAGGAAGAAGGGUCUCUGACUUGUAAACUGCUUUAGCAAGGGAAGAAAAAGCUCAUGCGUGAGAAAUUGACGGUACCUUGAGAAUAAGCACCGGCUAACUACGUGCCAGCCGCCGCGGUAACAC